GGGCGCGUAGCUCAGCCUGGAGUGAGCGCUUCCUUGACAUGGAAGAGGUCACAGGUUCAAAUCCUGUCGCGCCCACCA
rnacentral:tRNA from 4 species